rnacentral:rRNA from 1 species
CAAUAUAAGUGAUGGCGACCGGCGCACGGGUGAGUAACACGUAUCCAACCUGCCGAUAACUCGGGGAUAGCCUUUCGAAAGAAAGAUUAAUACCCGAUGGUAUAAUAAAACCGCAUGGUUUAAUUAUUAAAGAAUUUCGGUUAUCGAUGGGGAUGCGUUCCAUUAGGCAGUUGGUGAGGUAACGGCCCACCUAGUCAACGAUGGAUAGGGGUUCUGAGAGGAAGGUCCCCCACAUUGGAACUGAGACACGGUCCAA